rfam:Equus caballus chromosome 17, whole genome shotgun sequence.
GGACGUGAGGGUGAUCUGUCUGUGACGUCUGUCACCCCAUUGAUCACCAGGGUUGCUUUGGCUGAUCCAGCUGGCUAGGCAGGUGUCCCCUUCCUCCCUUCCCACUCCACGUGUGUCCCUCCAUGCUCCAUGUGCGUCCCUCCUGAAGCUACACACUAGUUUGAAGAGGACGACGUUCCCUGGUAGAGGAGGACCAGUUUUUGGUCAAGGGUACACAAGUAGCUGCGUUUCCCUGCUAAAACGUCCAGACAAGCUCUCAAGGUCAUUUGUAGGAGAAUGUAGGGUAGUCACCCUUUCAAAGACUCCAGACACAUGCAAAUGAGGUGCAGUGUGUGGCAGUUU